GACGAACGCUGGCGGCGUGCCUAAUACAUGCAAGUCGAGCGAAGUUUUUCUGGUGCUUGCACUAGAAUAACUUAGCGGCGAACGGGUGAGUAACACGUAAAGAACCUGCCUCAUAGACUGGGACAACUAUUGGAAACGAUAGCUAAUACCGGAUAACAGUAUUUCUCGCAUGAGAGAUAUUUAAAAGUUGGUUAUGCUAACACUAUGAGAUGGCUUUGCGGUGCAUUAGCUAGUUGGUGGGGUAAAGGCCCACCAAGGCGACGAUGCAUAGCCGACCUGAGAGGGUGAUCGGCCACACUGGGACUGAGACACGGCCCAGACUCCUACGGGAGGCAGCAGUAGGGAAUCUUCCGCAAUGGGCGAAAGCCUGACGGAGCAACGCCGCGUGAGUGAAGAAGGAUUUCGGUUCGUAAAGCUCUGUUGUUAGGGAAGAAUGGAUAUGUAGUAACUAUACAUGUAAGAGACGGUACCUAACCAGAAAGCCACGGCUAACUACGUG
rnacentral:rRNA from 1 species